AAAGCCACCUCCGGCCCACCCCCGCCCGCUCUCGCGACCACCCUCUUCCGGCUGACGUGCACAGCCGGAAGUGAGAGUUCCCAUGGUAACGAGGCCUGUUCUCUGUGCGUGGGGAUGGAGGGGUAGGAGCGAUCGAACAACACCUUAUUACGCGGCACGAAUGACAUGGUGGCGUUGUCAUCCCGUGUUCACAGUCUCCGACAGAGGGGGCUCAAUGAACUGAUCCCUCCUGGACACGCUCGCAUUGCAAGGUUCACGCACAACCGCACAUGAUGCUGAACUCGUAUAGCUCAUCGUCAGUUACUGUCUAACCUCUGGCGUGGGUUUUGUUUUAAAUCAACCUGUUCAGAAAUGUUAUUACACAGCCCGGAACAGGAUACAAGCACUGCUGGCUUGACCAGCAUCUAUUGCCCACCCCUAAUUGGCCAGAUGAAAGUUAAGAGCCAAAGACAUUGCUGUGGGUUUGGAGUCACAUGUAGUCCAGACCAGAUGAUCGGUUCAAUUAUCAGAUGAAUCAGAAGAAGCAAGGUUGGCACCUCGAGCGAAUCUUGUUAAAGACUGAUUCUGGAACCACAGAUACAACUGCACCAUUAUCGACCGCCAUGGGAACUGGGUGAUGAUUUAACCAAGUAUUAAUUUUAAUUGGCUCCGAUUUGGGUUGUCACUGAGCAAUUUAAUUGUUCUAACCCACAUCUAGGGAAACUUUCCAGGGUGUGCACUCUUCUGGGUACCGGCCUCCGAGUCUUCCUACUCAGGUCAGGCCUUGUAGGACUCAUUUGCUGUCUUGAGUCUGCAUGCCGGCAGCAACCACAAUGGCUUGCCGGCCUAGAUCCUGAAGAACUGAUUAGCCACUUGGCCGAGGCUCGGCUUUGUUGGAGGAUUCUGCUGUGGAUUGGCCUAGGGUCCCUCUGCUCAGGACAUGCCCUGCUUGAGGCUGUGUGAUUGCCUAUACUCAAGUGGUGUUCCCCAAGCUCAAUUGGACAGGUGAGGGUGUCCACUUCCCUGAUGCCUGUAGCUCCCAUGCUCUACUUCCUGCAUUUUCUAAUGACAAAGCCAGCUGCAGUGCCUGUUUGAAGUCCAGCUGGGCUUCAGCUAUAGGUGCUUCUGCAUAGUUACAUCAUAGAUCCCACAUAUCAAUUGGUCUCCUAGUAUCUCAUUCAGGAUUAACUCAAAAUCACAUGCCUCUGUAAGUCGUCUUAACUUUGUCAAAAAUCGCAAUAGGGAUUCGCCCGGUUCUCUAACAGCCCAAUAAAACCAAUAAUGUCUCAGGAUUAGGGGAAGUUUGGGGUUGUAAUAUUCCUCAUCCAACUCUGUCAACUUUUGGAAGGAUUUAAUGCUGGUGCCUCUGCGAAAGUUAAGCCCCUUACAACCAAAAAUGCUGCAGGUCCAUACUCAGUCAGAAGCAUUACUCGUUCCUUUCCGUCUGCCCCAGUAUCAUUUGCCCAGAAAAAGUAUUGCAUUCUUUCAACAUACUGGGCCCAGUCUUCCGCAGCAGGGUCAAAUAAGUCAAGUUUCCCAAUAGAGGCAUGAUGCUAGAAAUGCUUACCCCAACUCCAAGAUGACCAUUGCAAGCGAAUGUUCUUCAAGCACAUCCUGUUUUCUCCUGUCGCCACUGAAAUAACUGCACUGAGGCCAGCCCCAUCACCAAGUCACCUUUCUAUUUACUAGUGCAUAGUACACUGGCUGUAGCCAGCCAGUUCGGAGUCAGUGUUCAACUGAGGAGAUUCUACUCUCCUGGUUAUAUUGGUCAACCAAUGCUUUCCUGAUUGGUUUAGGUUAACAACCCCAAUCAGGAACCUUGUAGUUAAUGAGGGCAACCCGAUCCCAAUCACGACAGGGAUUUAGCAGGGAAAUGACUCCUUGGUUUCAUAAUUUAAAAAUAAAAGUUGUGACAAUAUUUUGAAAGGCCCUGAAAUAAUGGCAGUACAUGUGCUGAAAAUUAGUGACUCCAUCAUGUCUUGUUUGAGAUAGUGUUUCAUGGUUAUGUGGAUGAGCCUGUGAAGUAACCCAUGAUCUAACUGUGACCUCGGUACUCAUGUAAAAGUACUCUGCUAGGAGUCUGGAACAUAUACAGCCGAGAGUCUGCUGUUUGGUGGUCUUGCCAACAUAGACACAUUGUGAAAAACGAUAUUUAAAAGUAACCUAAAAAUCUGUACUGAGCUUGUAUGAAGAUCUGAAGAAACAAUAAUAAAAUAUUUAUUGUGUUUCUAA